UAAAUCUGAUAGGAUUCGAACCUGCGCAUGAUAACCCCCAUGGAUUUGAAAUCCAUGGCCUUGACCACUUGACCACAGCUGC